rnacentral:rRNA from 1 species
UCCAGACUCCUACGGGAGGCAGCAGUGGGGAAUAUUGCACAAUGGGGGGAACCCUGAUGCAGCGACGCCGCGUGGGUGAAGGAGCACCUCGGUGCGUAAAGCCCUAUCGGCAGGGAAGAAACAGACGGUACCUGACUAAGAAGCCCCGGCUAACUACGUGCCAGCAGCCGCGGGAAUACGUAGGGGGCAAGCGUUAUCCGGAUUCACUGGGGGUAAAGGGAGCGUAGACGGCGACGCAAGUCUGGAGUGAAAGCCCGGGGCCCAACCCCGGGACUGCUCUGGAAACUGCGUCGCUGGAGUGCGGGAGGGGCAGGCGGAAUUCCUAGUGUAGCGGUGAAAUGCGUAGAUAUUAGGAGGAACACCGGUGGCGAAGGCGGCCUGCUGGACUGUGACUGACGUUGAGGCCCGAAAGCGUGGGGAGCAAACAGGAUUAGAUACCCCAGUAAG